UUCGGUUCUCGGUUUAUUCGGUUCGGUUAUAGGAUUUAAAAUCAAUUCCGAAAUAAAAAUCUAAUUCGGUUCGAAUAAACCGAAUUUUAUACCAAAAAUUUAAAUAAUGGGCUCAAAUAACAAAUACAUAUAAUUACCGACUACAAAAAUUGGGCCAAAUAAAGAUAAAAGGCCCAAAAUAUCUAAAUGAAUCACAAAACAAAUCUAUUAGAUUACAAGCCCAAAUCCAAUAUACAUUAACAUUAGGGUUUCGAGAAAAGACGAUGUACGGCAACGACGACGGACUGCGGCGGUCCAAGCCACCGAGAACCAAGACCACUGUUACAAACUCUUCGCCGCUACUCUCUUCCAAUCCACCGGAUAUGACAAUAUAACAAAUCUCUAAACAUCAAAAGACUCUGUUUAACGAGUAAAACACAUCAAAGACACUAACAAGCAUAGAUAGUACAUGAAAAGUAAGUUUAACGAUAAAAAGGGAGAGCUUACAAGUUAUCUGAAUAUCGCGAGGGAUCGAAGGAUGAAGAGCUUUGUCUAGGACACGAUCUCAACGAGAAAUAGGGAGAGUUGUAGAAGAUAAGAAGAGAGGUGGGGAAGAAAAAUCUAAGGAAAAUAGA
rnacentral:lncRNA from 1 species